GGGAGGGUGACAACCGCCAGCCGGCCCACCUCCUCAGUCCCCAUUGGCUACAAGGCGCCACUGCCGCGCUAUGGCUGGGGCUUCCCAGCCAGAGCAGGAGAAUGACGGCCGCUCCCUCCCGCGCCGGAAAGGAGGCAUCACCCUGCACGUUCCCCACCUGAAUUCAGCCACCCUCACUACCGCCACCAGCCCAGGAUAAGGAUCAUAUUUCCAGUCUCCUUUGCAGCUACCCGGCCACUGGACCAAUCUCCAACCAGGCAGAUAAAGGGAUGGAAGUUAGAGUCUCGCCUGGCGACUUCCGGUAACAGCUUUGUGCCACUUUCCCUAGAACGAUCCUCCUGCCUCCUUCCUGCCAGCUCCAUGAAUUGUAAAAUCACGUUGGGCGUGGCAGCCAGACAGAAUAAAGCACCAAAUUAAAACAGGUGCCAGUGUCCCCAUGUCAUGCAGCGUCAGCAAGGCACUCUGCACCAGCCCCAGCCCCACACUUCCUAUCUCCAGGUUUCUAAAAUAAAGAGAAAAAUG
ensembl:antisense Hk1os hexokinase 1, opposite strand